UCUGCUCCUGACGUCAUUAUUUGUCUCUCUUUCAUCGCUGGUUCUCGAAAUUCGUCACUCCUCCACGUGUUACAAGAUGCCACUUCUUUCUAUCACCAGCGAUUUCUUCCCAGGUAUCAAUGGGGAUGCCGGUGGAGUUGAGAGACUGUUUAAGCUGGUCCUUAAAGCGUCUUUUAGGCCCACCUCAGGGGAAAUGGCCUUGGGUAAGCUCACCAAAGAGGGUGACUCUAGGGAGAUGAUUAUCUGGAUUCUGG